rnacentral:rRNA from 1 species
AUUGAACGCUGGCGGCAUGCCUUACACAUGCAAGUCGAACGGCAGCACGGGUGCUUGCACCUGAUGGCGAGUGGCGAACGGGUGAGUAAUACAUCGGAACAUGUCCUGUAGUGGGGGAUAGCCCGGCGAAAGCCGGAUUAAUACCGCAUACGAUCUACGGAUGAAAGCGGGGGACCUUCGGGCCUCGCGCUAUAGGGUUGGCCGAUGGCUGAUUAGCUAGUUGGUGGGGUAAAGGCCUACCAAGGCGACGAUCAGUAGCUGGUCUGAGAGGACGACCAGCCACACUGGGACUGAGACACGGCCCAGACUCCUACGGGAGGCAGCAGUGGGGAAUUUUGGACAAUGGGCGAAAGCCUGAUCCAGCAAUGCCGCGUGUGUGAAGAAGGCCUUCGGGUUGUAAAGCACUUUUGUCCGGAAAGAAAUCCUUGGCCCUAAUACGGUCGGGGGAUGACGGUACCGGAAGAAUAAGCACCGGCUAACUACGUG